AUCAUGUUUAUUUUCCAUGUUUUAAAGGAGGUUCCAUGUAAAAAAUGAAGAGGGUGUGUGUCCAGUGUGUGGCAGCAGUUUAGCUGGACUGCACAUCCAGAGAGGAUAUACAUUGUGUAAACAUUUAAAUAGAUUUCUUACCCAUCUAUGAAAUAGAUACAGAAUUAUGUAAGAUUAAAAGGUUAGCCCCAUUGCCACUACUUUUGAGACAAGAGAUAAAUUAUACAAUGAAAUUUCCUGUCCUCAAACCAAUGAAUCAUCCUAAGCUUUUUUCAUAUCUCAAAGGUUGGUGCCAUCUGAAUGGACAGGACACCAUCUUCCCCAUCCUCACCCUCACAGAAUGGAGAGGUUGGCAUUAGCAGCCCAUCAGCAGGAAUGAGACACUGCUACACAUGAAUGGAGAAACACGUUUGUAAUGUCAUGAGAGGCUAGAACUUUAAACAGAAUGAAAGAAAGGAGAGUUAAAAGCAUUGAAAGGAUUCUGUGGAGUAACACUCUCAGAGCCAGGUAGCUCUCUGUGUAGUUGGGAAACAAAAGCCCAUUGAUUCUUUCUUUUUCAGCCCAACAUCCAGCUCACACUCACUGUGUACCCAGUUUGCCAGGUACUGUGCUAGGCAUGGGGAAUACAGUGGCAACAAGGUGGAUACCAUCCCAGCCUCACAACUCUCAAGGGCAAUGUCCAGGUGACACGGAGAGCUAACCAACUAAUGCCUGAAUCGGAGAAUCUGGAAACAUCAACUUGUGAGCAACUUAGCAACUUAGCACAAAGCCAAAUGUGUCCCCAUAUGGCACAACAGGAAGAUCACUGGAAAUUAAAAAGAGAUACACCUGCUCUGAACCUGGCUUUGCCACUAACCAGCACUUAUCAUCAUCAGACAAAAGCAUCUUUGUAGACACUAAAAUGUGAGCUCCAAACAUAUCUCAGCUACCUAAUCCAUCUCUGCAUCUCUAGCUGGCAGAACUAUCCCUGGCUCAUAGUUGGGACACCACAGAUAUAUGUUGAAUACAUGAGUGAAUGGAGUGCCAGGCACUGUGGAAAAUGCCUUACAGAGAUGAACUCAUCAUCAUCUUUACAGUAAUCCAGUGAAGUAAGUAUUCCAUUAGCUUAUUUUCA
rnacentral:lncRNA from 13 species